rnacentral:rRNA from 1 species
UACGUAGGCAGCAAGCGUUGUUCGGAGUUACUGGGCGUAAAGGGUGUGUAGGCGGUUCUUUAAGUUUGGUGUGAAAUCUCCCGGCUUAACCGGGAGGGUGCGCCGAAUACUGAGGGACUAGAGUACGGGAGAGGAAAGUGGAAUUCCUGGUGUAGCGGUGAAAUGCGUAGAUAUCAGGAGGAACACCGGUGGUGUAGACGGCUUUCUGGACCGUAACUGACGCUGAGACACGAAAGCGUGGGUAGCGAACAGG